GAACGGCAGCACAGUCGUAGCAAUACGAUGGGUGGCGAGUGGCGGACGGGUGAGGAAUGCAUCGGAAUCUGCCCGAUCGUGGGGGAUAACGCAUCGAAAGGUGCGCUAAUACCGCAUGAGAUCGAGAGAUGAAAGCGGGGGACCGCAAGGCCUCGCGCGAUCGGAUGAGCCGAUGCCGGAUUAGCUAGUUGGCGGGGUAAAGGCCCACCAAGGCGACGAUCCGUAGCUGGUCUGAGAGGAUGAUCAGCCACACUGGGACUGAGACACGGCCCAGACUCCUACGGGAGGCAGCAGUGGGGAAUAUUGGACAAUGGGCGCAAGCCUGAUCCAGCAAUGCCGCGUGUGUGAAGAAGGCCUUCGGGUUGUAAAGCACUUUUAUCGGGAGCGAAAAGCGGACGGUGAAUACCCGUCCGUGCUGACGGUACCCGAGGAAUAAGCACCGGCUAACUUCGUGCCAGCAGCCGCGGUAAUACGAAGGGUGCAAGCGUUAAUCGGAAUUACUGGGCGUAAAGCGUGCGUAGGCGGUUCGCUAAGUCUGCCGUGAAAGCCCCGGGCUCAACCUGGGAAUUGCGGUGGAUACUGGCGAGCUGGAGUGUGGUAGAGGAGGGUGGAAUUCCCGGUGUAGCGGUGAAAUGCGUAGAGAUCGGGAGGAACAUCAGUGGCGAAGGCGGCCCUCUGGACCAACACUGACGCUGAGGCACGAAAGCGUGGGGAGCAAACAGGAUUAGAUACCCUGGUAGUCCACGCCCUAAACGAUGCGGACUGGACGUUGGGCACAACUCGGUGCUCAGUGUCGAAGCUAACGCGUUAAGUCCGCCGCCUGGGGAGUACGCUCGCAAGAGUG
rnacentral:rRNA from 1 species